rnacentral:rRNA from 1 species
GGUUAAGCGACUAAGCGUACACGGUGGAUGCCUAGGCAAUCAGAGGCGAUGAAGGACGUGCUAAUCUGCGAUAAGCGUCGGUAAGGUGAUAUGAACCG